GUUGAUAAGGUUAAGUGAAUAAGGGCGCACGGUGGAUGCCUUGGCACUAGGAGCCGAUGAAGGACGGGACUAACACCGAUAUGCUUUGGGGAGCUGUACGUAAGCUAUGAUCCAGAGAUUUCCGAAUGGGGAAACCCAACAUCUUUUAUAGGAUGUUACGUUUGCGUGAAUACAUAGCGCAUUCGAGGUAGACGCAGAGAACUGAAACAUCUAAGUACCUGCAGGAAGAGAAAGAAAAUUCGAUUCCCUGAGUAGCGGCGAGCGAAACGGGAAAAGCCCAAACCAAUGAGCUUGCUCAUUGGGGUUGUAGGACUCCAAUAUGGUAGUUCUUUCAGAUAAUCGAAUGACUUGGAAAAGUCAGUCAAAGAGGGUAAAAACCCCGUAGAUGAAAUUUGGAAGGCACCUAGGAGGAUCCUGAGUACGGCGGAACACGAGGAAUUCCGUCGGAAUCCGGGAGGACCAUCUCCCAAGGCUAAAUACUCCCUAGUGACCGAUAGUGAACCAGUACCGUGAGGGAAAGGUGAAAAGCACCCCGGAAGGGGAGUGAAAUAGAACCUGAAACCGUGUGCCUACAACAAGUCAAAGCCCGUUAAUGGGUGAUGGCGUGCCUUUUGUAGAAUGAACCGGCGAGUUACGAUUGCAUGCGAGGUUAAGUCGAAGAGACGGAGCCGCAGCGAAAGCGAGUCUGAAUAGGGCGUUUGAGUAUGUAGUCGUAGACCCGAAACCAUGUGAUCUACCCAUGUCCAGGUUGAAGGUGCGGUAAAACGCACUGGAGGACCGAACCCACGUACGUUGAAAAGUGCGGGGAUGAGGUGUGGGUAGCGGAGAAAUUCCAAACGAACUUGGAGAUAGCUGGUUCUCUCCGAAAUAGCUUUAGGGCUAGCCUCGGAUUUGAGAAUGAUGGAGGUAGAGCACUGUUUGGACUAGGGGCCCAUCUCGGGUUACCGAAUUCAGAUAAACUCCGAAUGCCAUUCAUUCAUAUCCGGGAGUCAGACUGUGAGUGAUAAGAUCCAUAGUCGAAAGGGAAACAGCCCAGACCACCAGCUAAGGUCCCAAAAUAUAUGUUAAGUGGAAAAGGAUGUGGGGUUGCACAGACAACUAGGAUGUUGGCUCAGAAGCAGCCACCAUUUAAAGAGUGCGUAAUAGCUCACUAGUCGAGUGACCCUGCGCCGAAAAUGUACCGGGGCUAAACAUAUUACCGAAGCUGUGGAGUACACCAUUAGGUGUAUUGGUAGGAGAGCGUUCUAAGGGCGUUGAAGGCAGAUCGUGAGGACUGCUGGAGCGCUUAGAAGUGAGAAUGCCGGUAUGAGUAGCGAAAGACAGGUGAGAAUCCUGUCCACCGAAUGACUAAGGUUUCCUGGGGAAGGCUCGUCCGCCCAGGGUUAGUCGGGACCUAAGCCGAGGCCGACAGGCGUAGGCGAUGGACAACAGGUUGAUAUUCCUGUACUCGUUGUUUUUGUUUGAGCAAUGGAGGGACGCAGGAGGCUAAGGAAUGCAGACGAUUGGAAAUGUCUGUCCAAGCAGUAAGUCUUGAUAGGAGUCAAAUGCUUCUGUCUACACGGAUAAGCUGUGAUGGGGAGGGAAAUAAUAGUACCGAAGUUCCUGAUGUCACACUGCCAAGAAAAGCUUCUAGUGAGAAAACAAUGACCCGUACCGCAAACCGACACAGGUAGUCGAGGAGAGAAUCCUAAGGUGAGCGAGAGAACUCUCGUUAAGGAACUCGGCAAAAUGACCCCGUAACUUCGGGAGAAGGGGUGCUGAUCUUUGAUCAGCCGCAGUGAAUAGGCCCAAGCGACUGUUUAUCAAAAACACAGGUCUCUGCAAAAUCGUAAGAUGAAGUAUAGGGGCUGACGCCUGCCCGGUGCUGGAAGGUUAAGAGGAGUGCUUAGCGUAAGCGAAGGUACGAAUUGAAGCCCCAGUAAACGGCGGCCGUAACUAUAACGGUCCUAAGGUAGCGAAAUUCCUUGUCGGGUAAGUUCCGACCCGCACGAAAGGCGUAACGAUUUGGGCACUGUCUCAACGAGAGACUCGGUGAAAUUUUAGUACCUGUGAAGAUGCAGGUUACCCGCGACAGGACGGAAAGACCCCAUGGAGCUUUACUGUAGUUUGAUAUUGAGUGUCUGUACCGCAUGUACAGGAUAGGUAGGAGCCGUAGAAAUCGGAACGCUAGUUUCGAUGGAGGCGCUGGUGGGAUACUACCCCUGCGUUAUGGCCACUCUAACCCGCACCACUGAUCGUGGUGGGAGAC
rnacentral:rRNA from 1 species